CCUACGGGAGGCAGCAGUGAGGAAUAUUGGUCAAUGGGCGGGAGCCUGAACCAGCCAAGCCGCGUGAGGGAAGAAGGUACAGCGUAUCGUAAACCUCUUUUGUCAGGGAACAAAGGCGGGGACUAGUCCCCGGAUGAGGGUACAUGAAGAAAAAGCAUCGGCUAACUCCGUGCCAGCAGCCGCGGUAAUACGGAGGAUGCGAGCGUUAUCCGGAUUUAUUGGGUUAAAGGGGUGCGCAGGCGGCCUGUUAAGUCAGCGGUAAAAGCCCGGGGCUCAACCCCGGCGAGCCGUUGAAACUGGCGGGCUUGAGUUGUGGAGAAGUACGCGGAAUGCGCGGUGUAGCGGUGAAAUGCUUAGAUAUCGCGCAGAACCCCGAUUGCGAAGGCAGCGUACCGGCUCCACACUGACGCUGAGGCACGAAAGCGUGGGUAUCGAACAGGAUUAGAUACCCCUGUAGUC
rnacentral:rRNA from 1 species